rnacentral:rRNA from 1 species
UAAAGGACGCGUAGGCGGAUUAUCAAGUCUCUUGUGAAAUCUAACGGCUCANCCGUUAAACUGCUUGGGAAACUGAUAAUCUAGAGUAAGGGAGAGGCAGAUGGAAUUCUUGGUGUAGGGGUAAAAUCCGUAGAUAUCAAGAAGAAUACCUAUUGCGAAGGCGAUNUGCUGGAACUUAACUGACGNUAAUGCGUGAAAGCGUGGGGAGCAAACAGGAUUAGAUACCCUGGUAGUNCACGCCCUAAACGAUGUAUACCGGUUGUUGCUGUGCUAGUCACGGCAGUAAUCCACCUAACGGAUUAAGUAUACCGCCUGGGGAGUACGGUCGCAAGAUUAAAACUCAAAGGAAUAGACGGGGACCCGCACAAGCGGUGGAGCAUGUGGUUUAAUUCGAAGAUACGCGAAGAACCUUACCCGGACUUGAUAUCUAACAAAUCAUCCAGAGAUGGAAGAGUGUCUGCUUGCAGAAAUGUUAAGACAGGUGCUGCACGGCUGUCGUCAGCUCGUGUCGUGAGAUGUUGGGUUAAGUCCCGCAACGAGCGCAACCCACGUCAUUAGUUGCUAACGGUUCGGCCGAGCACUCUAAUGAGACUGCCUUCGUAAGGAGGAGGAAGGUGUGGACGACGUCAAGUCAUCAUGGCCCUUAUGUCCGGGGCGACACACAUGCUACAAUGGCAUAUACAAUAAGACGCAAUAUCGUAAGAUGGAGCAAAUCUAAAAAAUAUGUCCCAGUUCGGAUUGGAGUCUGCAACUCGACUCCAUGAAGCCGGAAUCGCUAGUAAUCGUAGAUCAGCCAUGCUACGGUGAAUACGUUCCCGGGUCUUGUACUCACCGCCCGUCACACCAUGGGAGUUGAUUUCACUC